rnacentral:tRNA from 1 species
UUUAAUGCGGUGUUGGGGCACAUUACAUUUUGGUUGUAAAAGAGACUAGUUGUCCGUUAAAU